rnacentral:misc_RNA from 1 species
CAAUGGGUGCCGAAGGCUUUACGACAGAAAAACCAUGUACCUCUUCAUCCUACCGUUUCUUGUAGGCCCCGCUGCCGGCGGCCUCCCCACUCCUCCUGCGAUUCCUGUGGCAAAUUAUCAUACUAAUUGGACAGGUUUAUUAUCGUUUCUAGGUACGGACCAAGUAAUUUGGCUGAAGGACAGCAAUAAAUCUCUCAGUGGUAUUCAGUGUGUUAAAUGGAAGAAGGUUUCACUGACGGGAAAUUCUUACACUUUCACCAGAUCCCACCGUCAAGGAGGCCAAACGUACACAAGUAAUAAAUAUGCCGAGCUGCUCAACGUAUCUGCCAAGUCAUACGGUCUACCAAGUACAAAACCUGCGUUGAAAAUCCUGGACAAUUCACAGAAGCAAGAGUUUAUAUGUCAACAACUUGUAUGGAAUCAACGUGUUCAAAAUUCGCCUGUAUGUGACGCUGCGUACACCGAAACUUGUGGUAGGCGCUACGAGAUUUACAAAAGAGACUGCCUAUGAUAAGGAGAUAUUUGUGUCAGUCUGCGCAAGGGCUAACUUCAAGGCAUGAAUCGCAAUAAACUACAUUUGGCAUAUAGCAGUUUCGAAUGUACUGAAAACAUUAUUGUGUAGUUAACAGUGAAUAAA